CUCUACGGGUCAGUGCCAUCUAAAGGGGGCACUGCUCAUCUCCGUUUCAAGGCCACUGAGCCAGCGCUGUCUGAAGAUACUUCUGUGGUCCUGUGGCCAGCAUGAUGUCAUGGAACGCUGUUACGUACACUUUGUCAGAUCCACUGAAUCGAAUUAACUGGAGACGAGGGAGGCGUGAGGAGGCGUGGCCAAAACAACUCGACUCAGUAUCUGAUCAGACCAUCUAGAUCAUCCCACUCCUGACCCACUCCGCAGCCUACGAAGCAUUAGUUGCAUAGCACUUUGAGAACUUAUUUCUUCAACAGCUCUGAACCUCCUUUCAAUUCAAUCUCAGCUGCAACAAUCAUUAAAAACAAUGAGCAUGUCUGGCGCAAGUAAACGUGCUCAGACUAUCAACCAUUCACUAAGUACCUGGCAUUGGAUCCAUAAGUAUAACUAGAUUCUGACACGGGAAGAAAAGCUUUAGCACUCAUUGAAAAGACUCCGCUUUCCAUGCAAAGGCGUUAAAUGAUGCACCUUUGGCAGGACCGAGGAAAAAACUUUUUGA